rnacentral:rRNA from 1 species
AACGAACGCUGGCGGCAGGCCUAACACAUGCAAGUCGAGCGCACUCUUCGGAGUGAGCGGCGGACGGGUUAGUAACGCGUGGGAACAUACCCUUUUCUACGGAAUAGCCUCGGGAAACUGAGAGUAAUACCGUAUACGCCCUUCGGGGGAAAGAUUUAUCGGAGAAGGAUUGGCCCGCGUUUGAUUAGAUAGUUGGUGGGGUAAUGGCCUACCAAGUCUACGAUCAAUAGCUGGUUUGAGAGGAUGAUCAGCAACACUGGGACUGAGACACGGCCCAGACUCCUACGGGAGGCAGCAGUGGGGAAUCUUAGACAAUGGGCGCAAGCCUGAUCUAGCCAUGCCGCGUGAGUGACGAAGGCCUUAGGGUCGUAAAGCUCUUUCGCCAGAGAUGAUAAUGACAGUAUCUGGUAAAGAAACCCCGGCUAACUCCGUGCCAGCAGCCGCGGUAAUACGGAGGGGGUUAGCGUUGUUCGGAAUUACUGGGCGUAAAGCGUACGUAGGCGGAUUGGAAAGUAUGGGGUGAAAUCCCAGGGCUCAACCCUGGAACUGCCCUGUAAACUAUCAGUCUAGAGUUCGAGAGAGGUGAGUGGAAUUCCAAGUGUAGAGGUGAAAUUCGUAGAUAUUUGGAGGAACACCAGUGGCGAAGGCGGCUCACUGGCUCGAUACUGACGCUGAGGUACGAAAGUGUGGGGAGCAAAC